AGGGCUGCACCUUUCUGUGGGGUAAUUGGUGACACAGAAAUGAAGGGAUGAGCCCGUGGGAGCUAAUUGCUGGAGGAGCCUGUGUGGAACUCCUGGACACCUCCCAGGAGUGCAAAUGAUGGCCUGCCUUUGCUGCCUCCCAGCUGUAUGUCUGAUAGAGAAUGAGAAACCUACUGGUUUCAAGAAGGACUGGAGCUGUGCUACUUGAGAGUGGUGUUCUACUUCAUUUUCGAGCAAAAGCAAAUAUAACUUACCCAUCGGGAUGUAGGUGCUCUUGCUCCCAAGGACUCCAAGGGCAGCUCAGCUGCGUUCUGUAUGCCACCUCUGUGUGCCUAAUCAAUGAUUAAUUUGUACCUCUCAGUUACCUGCCUCAGAGCUCUGCGUGUAUUUCACCACGACCAGCCUCCCACGCAUCCAGCGAUGAGAAACGCUGCAGAAGACUGACCAGCCACCAGCCCGCCCACCCGAGGAGGAGGAGCAGCAGCAGCAGUACAUUUCUCUCUCUGCUUUUUAAACACAGUUAAAAAGAGCUGCAGCGUGGGUGGAAAUAGCUGUAGGGAGAGCAUGUGGGAAUGGGGCCAGGGGAAAGUGAAUUUUCUGUUGGUAGGACAGUUACUUCUAGUAGACUAGAAAAAAAAUACUUAAGGAUAACUUGCUGCCGAGUGUGUCUUUAGGCAUACAAUUAGUUCUUAGGGUUGAGUUUCCCUGGACUGGAAAGAAUGAAAUGGUAUUUAUUUUUCCCUGGUAGUCAAAGUGGCAGCCAGCGCUCCGCACUCAGAGAAGCUUGCCUAUAAGCCUCCAGGAGGCUGCAUAGCAAGGGAUAGUUGUGCUACAUCCUGUUGUGUCAUCCUGUCUCCUGUUCUGCUCCUGCUGUAUGUGCCUGAUUCGGUAAGAGUCAGAGCUGCUGCUCUGUAGGAAGAGGGGGAAAAAAAAGCAUCUGGUUUUCACAGUGUGGAGCUGUAUUUCAUAAUACCACCCCUGCUGGACCUCUUGAAAUAGCAGUAUCCCAGAAUAUCAAUUAGUUCACUAUUUACUCUAAAUCUGUGCUCUGAUAAAUAAACCUGAAUUUAUUUUCUUAUG
rnacentral:lncRNA from 7 species